GCAAAUAUAUGAAGAAUAUAAUGGAAGAUAAGGAUUGUUUAGCAACGUUUGUUUGUAUUGAUUCCUUUGGUGUCACUCUUGGGCUAGUAAGAGUCUAGACUUAUCUCUAAUGAUGAAGAAUCAUCCUCCGUUUUCUAAGAGAAAGGAAAAGGGCAGAGAAUAGUUCUUAUGUUUGCUCUUUUCCAACUGCCUUCAGCAGCAAUAACCUUAUGUCAGAAUGACAUAUUUUAGGGUGGCAUGCUCUGAACCCCUCCAGGAUAUAUUGGAUUGAAUAAAAAUAACUCCAUGUAUUUCUUUUUCAUUUUUAGAUGUGACCACUAGAAAAUUUGAAGUUACACAUGUGGCUAAUAUUAUUUUUCUAGAAGUUAGUGCUGGGCCAAGUUAUGACACACCUUGAAUAUUAUACAAUGUGUGUGAAAGGUGUUUCUCCCUCAGCACCAGAUUUUGGCAAUGUGAAGUGGAUAUAAUACCAUCAGCAAGUAAGAGUUUCAAGUGACUGGGGAGAGAAAAGCAGCACUGUGCUCCGUGGAUGACUGGCAAGGAGAUGUACCUCCACUUCAGGACUUCAGAGUCUAAGAGGUACCUGGAAAUUGAGCAAUAACCUCCCAGCUGCUUCCUCAUUCUCCACCAAGUAACAGUGGUGCCUACAACCCCUGUUGGACAGCACUAGGGAGAAUUGGAAAUGGUCCCUGUGCCCUCAGCUCCUUGGACUCUAGCAGCGGAGGGUGCAUCAGCAUAUCGAUCUUCUAUGGCCUUAUGAUCCAGUCUCAGACACCAUCAUCUACACCCACAACUCCAGGUCUGAAGAUUAAAAGAGAUCAUCUCCUGCAGAUUCCCAUACAUUCCUUGAAGAUGGCCAGCACUCAAGUCAGGGAAACUUCCUUUCCUCCCCUAUAACCAAGUCAGUCCCAGGGAAGGCAGAGAUCAGCAAAUGACCAAGAGACCUUGGAAGAGAGCUAAAUGGAGUCUCUCAUGUCAGGCAGGAGCCUGUGGCAAGCAAUGAAGCAAGCAAUUAAGGAAUCGCAGCUAGGAGGUAUCGCUGGGCCCAGCAUCAGCUGACAGCCCAGAACCGAUAAGGAGCAGAACCAGAGGAGGUCUGCGAGGGCCUGAGAUGCAUUAAAUCCCUUUAAAAAGGAGAGGAUUUGGGCAGCAAACUGUCAGACUCUUUAGGCCUGACCCCUCUAUGUCUGACCACUUAAAAAAGCCAACUAGUGCCGAAGGCUCUGCCCGAGGUUUCUCCGAACAGAACCGAGAUCCUUCCCUGCUUGAACAGAAGCAGCAGUAAGUGCCCAGAGCUGCCCGGGCCCAGACAGCAGCCCGAUCUCAGCUGCCCGCCCAGAGGCCGACUUCUUGUUAGGUUCAUUAACUUCUGCACCCUCUGUGAUCCUGUUUGUUGUGUGGCUUGUCUUCCGUCCUGCUCUGUGUGCUCCUGCUCUGUGUGCGGUGUAAGAAGCCAAGUUUAACCACAUGGGGAAAUGGCCUUGAGUUUGGAAUCCUGAGCCUGCUUUAUAAUUGUGAUUUAACUUUGCUUAAUGAUUGAAUAAAGCUGACUUUGUGGAAAGACA
ensembl:lncRNA